ACACUCCUACGGGAGGCAGCAGUGAGGAAUAUUGGGCAAUGGGUGGAAGCCUGAUCCAGCCAUCCCGCGUGCAGGAAGACGGCCCUAUGGGUUGUAAACUGCUUUUAUCUGGGGAUAAGCCUACUUACGUGUAAGUAGCUGAAGGUACCAGAAGAAUAAGCACCGGCUAACUCCGUGCCAGCAGCCGCGGUAAUACGGAGGGUGCAAGCGUUAUCCGGAUUUAUUGGGUUUAAAGGGUCCGUAGGCGGACUGAUAAGUCAGUGGUGAAAUCCGACAGCUUAACUGUCGAACUGCCAUUGAUACUGUUAGUCUUGAGUAAGGUAGAAGUGGCUGGAAUAAGUAGUGUAGCGGUGAAAUGCAUAGAUAUUACUUAGAACACCAAUUGCGAAGGCAGGUCACUAAGUCUGAACUGACGCUGAUGGACGAAAGCGUGGGGAGCGAACAGGAUUAGAAACCCUUGUAGUCCCAU
rnacentral:rRNA from 1 species